rnacentral:rRNA from 1 species
UACGUAGGCAGCAAGCGUUGUUCGGAGUUACUGGGCGUAAAGGGUGCGUAGGCGGCUUUUUAAGUUUGGUGUGAAAUCUCCCGGCUCAACUGGGAGGGUGCGCCGAAUACUGAGAGGCUAGAGUGCGGGAGAGGAAAGUGGAAUUCCUGGUGUAGCGGUGAAAUGCGUAGAUAUCAGGAGGAACACCGGUGGCGAAGGCAGUGUUCUGGGCCAGUACUGACGCUGAGGAGCGAAAGCGUGGGGAGCAAACAGG